CUACGGGGUGCAGCAGUGGGGAAUAUUGGACAAUGGGGGAAACCCUGAUCCAGCAAUGCCGCGUGUGUGAAGAAGGCCUGCGGGUUGUAAAGCACUUUCGGUUGGGAGGACUGCUUCUAGCACUAAUAUUGUUGGAAGUUGACGUUACCUUCAGAAGAAGCACCGGCUAACUCCGUGCCAGCAGCCGCGGUAAUACGGAAGGUGCAAGCGUUAAUCGGAAUUACUGGGCGUAAAGCGCGCGUAGGCGGCUAGAUCAGUCGGGUGUGAAAGCCCCGGGCUUAACCUGGGAACUGCAUCCGAUACUGUCUAGCUUGAGUACAGGAGAGGGGAGUGGAAUUCCACAUGUAGCGGUGAAAUGCGUAGAUAUGUGGAGGAACACCAAUGGCGAAGGCAGCUCUCUGGCCUGAUACUGACGCUGAGGUGCGAAAGCGUGGGGAGCAAACAGGAUUAGAUACCCGUGUAGUC
rnacentral:rRNA from 1 species